rnacentral:rRNA from 1 species
CUCCAAAAACAUGAACUUUUGACCUCAAAUCAGGUAGGAUUACCCGCUGAACUUAAGCAUAUCAAUAAGCGGAGGAAAAGAAACCAACAGGGAUUGCCUUAGUAACUGCGAGUGAAGCGGCAAGAGCUCAAAUUUGAAAUCCAGCUUUUGUUGGAAUUGUAAUUUGUAGAAGCAUCUUUUGAUAGGUAUCUGCAUACGUUCCUUGGAAUAGGACAUCAUAGAGGGUGAGAAUCCCGUUCAUGGUGGCAUACCGAUUCUUUGUAAGUUGCUUUCGACGAGUCGAGUUGUUUGGGAAUGCAGCUCUAAGUGGGUGGUAAAUUCCAUCUAAAGCUAAAUAUUGGCGAGAGACCGAUAGCGAACAAGUACAGUGAUGGAAAGAUGAAAAGUACUCCGAAAGGAGAGUGAAAUAGGACGUGAAAUUGUUAAAAGGGAAGUGCUUGAGAUCAGUCUGGGUAGUAGUGAUCAUCUGUGCUUUUGUGCGGUGCACUUGCUAUUUCCCCGGCCAGCAUCAGUUUGUGGUUGUGGAUAAUUGCAUUGGAAUGUAGCUCUUUCGGGAGUGUUAUAGCCUUUGUCGAUACACGAUUGCAGACUGAGGCCUGCGAUUCUAGGAUGCUGGUGUAAUGAUCU